AAAACAUGUCUUUUUGUUAUUAUAUAAAGUCGUACCUGCUCACUGAUAGAAUAAAUUAAAGAGCCGCGGUAAUUUGACCGUGCAAAGGUAGCAUAAUAAUUAGUCUUUUAAUUGAAGGCUGGAAUGAAAGGUUUGAUGAAAUGAUUACUGUCUCUUGUUAAUUAGUUGAAUUUUAUUAUUAAGUUAAAAAGCUUAAAUUUUAAUAAGGGACGAGAAGACCCUAUAGAUCUUUAUAAGUAAUUAAUUAAUAAUAGAAUUUAGAUGAUUUUUUUUUAAUUAAUUUCUUAUUUAGUUGGGGUGACUAGGAAAUAAUUUGAACUUUUCUAAAGUGGAACUUUGAUAAUAGGAAUUAUGAUCUUAUAUUAUGGAUUAAAAGAUUAAGAUACCUUAGGGAUAACAGCAUAAUUUCAUUUGAAAGUUCAUAUUGACAAUGAAGAUUAUGACCUCGAUGUUGGAUUAAGAUUAUAAAUUGGUGCAGAAAGUUAAUUUAUUUAGUCUGGUUCCGACUAUUAAAAUCUUACAUGAUCUGA
rnacentral:rRNA from 1 species